rnacentral:rRNA from 1 species
UGCCCAGACUCCUACGGGAGGCUGCAGUCGAGAAUAUUUCGCAAUGGGCGCAAGCCUGACGAAGCGACGCCGUGUGGAUGCUGAAAUGAAGGCCUUCGGGUCGUAAAGCUCUUUCGCUCUAGGAACAAG